UGGGGAAUUUUGGACAAUGGGCGAAAGCCUGAUCCAGCCAUGCCGCGUGCAGGAUGAAGGCCUUCGGGUUGUAAACUGCUUUUGUACGGAACGAAAAGACUCUGGUUAAUACCUGGGGUCCAUGACGGUACCGUAAGAAUAAGCACCGGCUAACUACGUGCCAGCAGCCGCGGUAAUACGUAGGGUGCAAGCGUUAAUCGGAAUUACUGGGCGUAAAGCGUGCGCAGGCGGUUAUAUAAGACAGAUGUGAAAUCCCCGGGCUCAACCUGGGACUGCAUUUGUGACUGUAUAGCUAGAGUACGGCAGAGGGGGGAUGGAAUUCCCGCGUGUAGCAGUGAAAAUGCGUAGAUAUGCGGAGGAACACCGAUGGCGAAGGCAAUCCCCUGGCCUGUACUGACGNUCAUGCACGAAAGCGUGGGGGAGCAAACAGGAUUAGAUACCCU
rnacentral:rRNA from 1 species